UACGAAGGGGGCUAGCGUUGUUCGGAAUUACUGGGCGUAAAGCGAACGUAGGCGGUGUUCCAUGUCAGAGGUGAAAGCCUGGGGCUCAACUCCAGAAUUGCCUUUGAAACGGGAACGCUUGAGUCCGAGAGAGGGUGGCGGAAUUCCUAGUGUAGAGGUGAAAUUCGUAGAUAUUAGGAAGAACACCAGUGGCGAAGGCGGCUCACUGGUCCGGUACUGACGCUGAGGUGCGAAAGCGUGGGGAGCAAACAGG
rnacentral:rRNA from 1 species